GUGCUCACUUCAACAGCACAUAUACUACAAUUAGAACAACAGAGAGAAGAUUAACAUGGCUCCUGCACAAGGAUGACACACAAAUUCAUGAAGUAUUCUGUAUUUUU
ensembl:snRNA U6 U6 spliceosomal RNA